GGGGAGGGGAAGAGAGGAGGCAGCUGGAGGAGCUGAGCUCCUGAGGCAGAGACAGAUCCUGUUUCCAGCACAUCAUGACUCUGAGUCAGGAAGACCCGAGUUCAAGUCCCACUUUUGACACCUACUGGUUGUGAGACACACCUUGGAUCUUUCAAGGAAGGACCUGAAAAUGAAGACAAAAUCAUGGCCUCCAGUAUCAAAGAGUGGGACCUUCACCAGCAGUGAAAGACAGUGGCAAGAAAGUGAAUUGUUUUUAUCCCAGCUUCCCUAUUGAUUUGCUGUGUGACCCAUAGCAUCA